CCACAGAGUAGGAUCCGACCCGGGAUCCAAGGGUCAACUAACAGAGCAGGAUCCGACCCAGGAUCCAAGGGUCAACUAAGACUUUCAGACCGACCCGAUCGAUCGGGAUCCGAGGGUCAACUAAGAAUUUCUGACCCGACCCCAAUCGGGAUCCGUGGUCUACUAAGAAUUUUGGACCCCACCUGGUAAUCGGGUCCCACCCGUACCCAUGAAGACCUCUUCAGGAUAUGGUUGAGGCAGAGGCAGGCGAUGGAGCUGAUUCGGCACAAGGUGCACGUGAAAGAUCAGGACAUGAAGAUUCGUACCCCCACAUUGCCACUUCUUCAGACAAAGGGAUGCAGUCUCGCACUCACCUUGGUCAAACUUGGCUUCUGUGUCAGGACCCCAGUAAGACCGAGAGUAGAGAGGCUGUUGAACUGCUGCAGAGAGCUCUGGACCUGUACAUCUGCUUCCUGGGGUCUGAUCACACUCUGACCAGAGACUUACAACAGUAAGACCCAGUACAGGAUUGAAAGUUGGACACAAAAUCAGCCACACCACAAACAGCAACUGGGUUGGGUUUUAAACACAGAAUCCAGGAGACCUCUGACCCCUCGGCUCACCAGGUCCAGACCUCUCUUCCACCUCUCCACUAGGAGGCUAAGCAGUGGGACCAGACCCAACACAGCCGCACCCCUUCACUCCCACCUGACCUGGGACAGGGGCACCACACACACCCCUCUGUACCCCUCCAGAAAGAGAUCCCUAUCAACCCCAUCCAACAAGACCCUCCACACAGCCAGAACCAGAUCAGGAACCAGUCAAGAACCAGAACUAAAACCACUGACCCUGGCCUGCCUUCCAGACCACAGUGUUUGGGCUACAGAGUGACAUCAGAAACCUGAUCUCAGAACUCAAACCCAGACCUGCUUCAGCACCGGGCUUCCGUUCCAUAGACAGGACCCUGGUGCUGUAUAGGGCAGGCUGGUGCCACCGACCAGGCAGGUACGUUCUGGAGGAACGGACAGUCAUAACAUUGAAAAGAGAGAUUGGAUCCCCUCUGCACAUGCAGAGAAGCACACCACUGUAAGUCGCUCUGGAUAAGAGCGUCUGCUAAAUGAUGUAAAUGUAAAUGUAAAUGGUCAGACUGACAGGCCAAGGACAGGGAGGAGAGACAGUCUUAUUCCACCAGGUGGUGUUAGAGAGAAGAGAAAGAGUCAGAGAGAAGAAGAGCACAUAGUUUUCAUGUAGUGUUUGAACUGCUAUUGUUUAACCACUUUUGAUACCAACCCUCUUUUUGUUUGAGAUCUAUUAAAAUAUUAAUGUUUUGCAAUACAUUCUUCUGAUAAAUGUCCCUAUACGGACAAUUGAUUAAUUUAACUCUACUUCAAGUUAUCAAACGAAUCAAUCCUUUAUUUUCUGUAUAGUUGGAUCAAAACUUUGGUAAAAUGUAUGUUGUGAAAGACGUAGAUCAGAUCCUACUAGAAGACAGUACUUAUUAGUACUUUUAGUAACCAAAGAGGGUGAUGUUAUCAACCAUUGUAAGCACUAGUAAAUAGAUAUCUGUCAAUUCUCCACACACAAUGAUGUGAGUGAAAGCAUUAAUUGAGCAACAUGUUACAGAUGCUGUGAAGUAGGACUUUCCCCCUAAGUAAGCUGGUUUGGACUUUAUCAUGUGGUGUAAUGUAGAUUUAGGUAAUGAGUUCUGAGGUCUGUAUUUAUGUUUGCAUAUCCUUGAAUUUGUGCGUAGGCCUGUUUGUUUCUGUGACCCCUCAUUGGAUGUACUUAAGUAAAAAUACUUUAAAGUACUACUUAAGUAGCUUUUUGGGGAAUCUGUACUUCUCUUUACUAUUUCUAUUUUUGACAACUUUUACUUUUACUUCACUACAUUCCUAAGGAAAAUGAUGUACUUUUGAC